GUUUCCUGAAUGAAGGCUGCUGCUUGAGAAGGUGUGUUCUGUAACCUGAGACCCUAUCGCCAGUUGGAUACUCUAAUAUCCCCAAAAGCCAUGCUGACUUCUACAGCGUUCUAUGUGACUCCACCAUCAGUUGUGUUGGGCUGAAUGUUGCUGUGCAGCAGGACGUAGCUACUAUGUUGUCACUGCUCGCAGGUUUAAUGUCCUCUACAAUAAGGAAAGAACUGCAGCUUCAAGACCCCAUACUGCUGAGCAGGGGUCAAUAUCACAAACAGGAGGAUGGAAGGUAUUCCAGCAAAGUUUCACCAAAUAGAACUGGGGACUCCUGGAGGUGGCUAUUAGGCAAGGAAGGAUAAUAAAGGUUAACAGUUCCCAGACCCCAGCUAUACACUGCGGAUUCUCAAUCAUAUUACUGCUGAUGUACACUCCUUCUGUACCACUUUAAGGGUUAUAUUUUAAAGGUAAUGUUCUAGAAUGCUGUGGUAAAUAUAUAUGAGGAAAAAUGCAACCAUUUAUGUAAUAAACUCAAGGCAGGUUUUGAAGGAGGUUGAAGCAAGAGUAUGAAAUAAUAAAACACUUAGAGACUUAUUCUUUGAUGCUUUGCCCUUGUGAGGGAAUUGCCUGUUCUGCAAGUGUAUAAUAAAACAGAAGUAGCCGGGACUGUGUGAGGUAAAAUGCAUAAAAGGGAGAACAGCUUGUAAAGGAAAUAAAUCUUGGCGCUUUACUGAAGACCAUUUAAAUGUUUAUUAUGUAUUUAUUUAUUAAAGAUUGCCAAAGUCUGCUGAGAGUGGGGUAUAAUAAGCAUCUCCAGAUGCUCCUUACUAGAGCAACUCCAAACAUAUAACAACUUCUGAUAAAUCCUAAAAACAAUUUAAGGCGGGCUGUAAUGAACUCAGGUCUUAGAAGAGGUGACCACAGUAAGAAAUAGACAACAUACACAUUUCUAUGAAAAGGGUAGUAGUAAAUGCAACAGUGUUUCUCACAUGAAAUUAACUAAAACAGUAUAUCCUUCUAGUACUUUUUAUAAAGGUACAUGCUACAAGGCUGACUGUGAGGAAAACAUAAUACAGUUGGCAUCCCUCUCUGCUGUGCUAAGGGCUGAAUCACUCUUGUACCCUGGUUUUAAGUCUAGAUGGCUGUUAUGAAUCCAAAGCUGUCUGAUGUGCUUGUAUUUGAAAAGUUGAUGAAAUCCGGUCUUCAGAAAACAAAGGGAGAGUGCUCUUUUAAAACUGCUUUGGCUUUUUCUCAGUAUUGCCGCAUUUAAUUUAAUGUUGUUUCUAUGCUGAAGACGUUCUCCUCAACCUGAUUUUUACGGCAGCAGUAGUGCUGUUGUCACUGUUAUGAUCAAGGGAUAUAAACAGGACAAGAAGAGGUCACAACUCAUAUUAGGCCUGCUUUCAGGCAGUUCUUCUUCGGGAAGAAGAAACAGAGGAAGCCAUUCUCAAAUGUAAAUGCAAAGUGCUCACAUCACCUGAAAACUUACGUGUGAGAAAGAUGCUGGCAGAAGGAGAGAUGAGGAACUGGUGCUUCAGCGCCUACAAUUCCCUCCAUGCUCUAUCUGUGGUUAAGAGUGGGCCAACAGACUCUCCACCAAGAAAAUUCAAACAUAACCCAACCUGCUUGCUACAAGCUACAUGGAUGAACCUAGCCCUUAUUGCUGCCUUUAAAACCUGGUUCAAGUACAGCCAGUAAUGGCAGUGCAGAUGUAGCCAGCAAGACUCACAGCAGGGAAGAAAUAGAACUUAGGCAACCUUAGUGCCAGAGCACUGCAGUAAUGUUUUUCAUCUUCUGAUUACUACAAUCACUUUAAACAGUCAAAUGAAUGACCAAGCAGUCAGAGGCAGACAAAAUUUAAACAACUGUAGCAAGGCCAUGACAAGAAUGUCUCUGUAGCUAUCAGUGCUCUUCAAAAAAUAGCAUAUACACAACUUAGUUUUCCCAUAUAUUAUCCAUGCUUAUUAACGUGAUACAUACUAAGACAUCAACAUAUCUAGAGUAGACAUGACUGAGAGAGUCUUGUGUCAUGACACAGACUUGAAAUGGCUUAAAAGUAGUUAGAUAUGAAGAAAAAUAGAAAUUCCAAUAUAAAGAACUAAGUGAUUAUUAGAUACACUUGGAGCUGAGAAAAAGGUGAACCUGAGUCAUUAGAAAAAAAACAAAAACAAAAACAAAUGCGCUGUUUUUAUGUGAACUCUCUUGAAGUUCUUCACGUGGAAAAAAUAUUUUUCCUAAAGAAAAUUGAUUUUCUGUCUCACUAAUGUUUCAAUUUUAUUCUUACCAGUCAAGGAGAGUUUUUCCUUUGGUAAAAAGGUCUCUGGGUUUCCAGUGUAAUAAAGUAUCAUUAAAAAAGCCUGAAUUUCAGAAAAAAAAUGAUAAGCAGGAUGCGUCUAUUUUACACUAAGUAUCAGGGAAGAAAUACCAUGACAGCUUAGUUUUCCUGAGAGCAUUUUACAAAAUAACUCUCCAAUCUAAUCUCAGCUUUAUACCACCUAUUAUCAUAGCUUCAACCAUGUGUGGCAAUGACUACCUGGGUUCUACUUUAGCUGGAAAUGGUGAAGAAGAAGUAAGAACUUCAGCUAACAAAACAUGACGAGAAUGCAAAGGCAGGUAGUUUUCUGACUACCAUUUCAGUCUACUCCAAAUACUGCUAAAUACUGCUAAGAAUGUAUGUUGGGGCAGCCAUCUUUACUGCAGUGGAAUUAGAUGAUGCAGAGGAUCUGAGCAUGGUUGCUUGGCAAAGUAUUUUGGAGGAAGAUGAAUUUGCUUGUAUAUUAUUACUGGUAAUUACCUUUAAUCUUAGUUUAAAUUAUGUAUUACCAGAGCUACUCCACUGAUGUCAUUGGAGUUACUCCAAUUUUACAAUGUAAUGCUAUAUAGCAGAAAAGAGAUCUGGCUGUCUGCAUUCUUCUUCAGCUAGCAUGUUAUGUGAUCAGUCCCAGGUGUUGUCCGUGAUGAGGUGUUGUCCAGUACAAAAAUAAAAAAAAGAAAAAACUAAUGCCUUUAAUAGCCAAAGUACAAGGCUUUGCUAGUGGUUAUCAAUAUGAAAAAAGUUAAUUGACACAAAAUGCCGUGUUUUAUGUGGCUCUGAGAAUGUGUGUGGUAGCAGGGUUCUGUGGAUGCAUCUAGAUUAGUAAUUUAUAUCUCAAGAGGAGUUUAUUUUGGUGCAAAUUUGGCAUGCAUCUGUAGUUGGAAUUCAGCAGUGUACAUCUGAAAACUGAGCUGGAUGCCUUUUCCCUUCUGAUGGAGCCAGGGCUGAAGAUGGCUGAUGGAAAGGUACUUCUGAGUCUAUCCUUGAUACACUGUGCAGUCAUGUCUGUCUGUGUGAGAGGUGUUAACCCUGAAGAAGCAACUGGAUCAAACUUCACUGCUUCUUCAAACAGAAGGUGAACAUAUUGUCUUUCAACCACACAAGCAGCACCAAACUUAUCCCCGCUCCUUCCACCUUUGAGCCACUCUAGUAAGUAAUGUGAUUAUCCCCAUGCAUAAAUUCUGAUAACACGUGAGAAUAUCACAUGCAGGUAAAACUUAUAUGAGCCAGCUUUUCUCUUCUGACAGUUUGAAGAUUAUAUUUAGAGUGUUUAGUGUGUUUAGCACGUUCAAAGUCUCUGGAAUGUUUAGUGUUGUUGAUAAAGGGUGCACCUUGCCCAAAUUUGUGUUUUUAUUAUCUCCAAGAAUGGGAUUCUCCUUUUUCUUUUCACUAUUAUUUUUCUUCAAUUACUUAAGGAAAGAAUGUUGAAGUAUGUCUUGUGUCCCAUAAUUCAUAAGAAAUCUCAUACACUGGUCCUGAGUCAGCAUUUGUCUUAAUGGAUUUUGUACUGAGGUAUUGGAAGGAUUUAACCAAAGCCUGUAGUUUGACCUACAUAUUUAACAUCUCUCUUUUGGACAGUAUUAAUUUGCAUUCAUAUUUUCUUUCUUUUUGCUACUUGUAUCUAACUUUGUUUUUACUGUAUAAACUGGAAUUAACAGUGAUUAAUACUUUAAAUCAAAUAUGGUUUGUUUUCUGUUGGCCAUGGCCAUCUCUAAGAACAAAUUUAAACUGCAGAGGGAAUUCAGCUAUUCAUAUCACGUUUGCUUCCACAAGCAAAACUUGCCAAACUAAAGAACUCAGAGUUGAGCCAUAUGGUUUUGAUAAAACAUGGUGACUUGAAAUUUAUUUUCACUUUGCAAAACAACAACGAGUGCCAAAAUACUGUAUGUGAAAAAUUCAGCAUCCGGAAAAAUGUCCAGUAUAUGUCCACUUGUCACACUGGUUGGGCUCGGCAUUUCUACAGCUCAAGAUGAUCCUUUGCAGUGUUAGUAGUGAGAAAAGAGAAACUUGUAGAAUAAAAGUUCAAAGUGAAAAA